UUUAGAUAUAGAAUACCAUAAAGCAAUCAUAUUUUUUUUUGUAAAAAAAAUAAAAGAUUGGCACUGUGUUAAUGGGGUAGUAAAUUUCUUUUUUAUUAUGUUACACAAAUAUAGUGAUAUAAUAAGAAACAUAAAAUACGAUUCUUUGUUUUUAUCACCAGAAUAUAAAAAAUUGUUUAUGGUAAAAAAAAAAAGCAGUGUAAAAUAUAUAAAUAUGUUUGGCUUGGAAAAAAAAAAAAACGAAAAUGGUACAAAUUUGGCGAAUGGUACAAAUUUGGCGAAUGGUACAAAUUUGGCGAAUGGUACAAAUUUGAAAAAUGGUUCAAAUUUGAAAAAUGGUUCAAAUUUUAUGAACGACUGUUUAGCGUCAGGCGAAACUGAUGUAAAGCGUGAAUCAAAUAAUACAACAAAUAUGAACUUUGUUGUUAGUCAUAACGAAAACGGAGGUAGUAAUGACUAUUAUAAUGACAACUUCUCCAGUUAUAUUGAUAAUCAACAUGACGAUUACGACGAGUCAGUUUCGGAUUAUUAUUCUGAGGAGUACUAUACGAACCCAAAUAAACAAAAUUAUCAUCACAAUAUUGAUGAAUAUUCAUAUUCAGAUAGAUGCUCAGAGGAAUGCUCAAUAGAUGACGACUUAGAUGAUGUCGAAGUAAUAUUAGAAGAGAACACUUGUGUCGUUUACACUAUUUUAAAAAAACUAUUUAUACAUGUACAUGCGCCCAGCUAUUUGCAAAAUAUAAGAUGGAAUUAUUAUAAAAUAAUAUUAAUAUCUUUAAGCAAAUUUAAUAAAGAAAUAAAACAAAUAAAAAAUUUUAUUGACAAAAUACAAAAUCAAUUAGAAAGCGAAUCUGAUCCUCGUAAUAUUUUAGUCUUAUUCGACAUAAUUUAUAUAUUAUGCAACAAAUAUAUAUCUUCUCAUAGUAUGAAUGAUAAAAAAGGUGACAGUACUAGUGACAAUCGUGGCGAUAGUGACAAUCGUAGCGAUAGUGACGAUAGUGGCGAUAGUGACGAUAGUGGCGAUAGUGGCGAUAGUAGCGUGUUGAAUGUGGAUGAUAAUAUUUCAUGUGAGAGUUCUUCGAGUAUCUCUCAUUUUACGGAUGUGCCUAAUCGUGUAGCUACAAACGGGAUGAGCAGAGGUAAUGGAGCACUCAACACAAGUGGAAAUGACAAGAACAAUAACCAACAGUACUACCCAUACUCAUACAAAAAAGAAAAAAAAUAUUUAAAGUCUAUUAUAGAUAUCGCAUUUUAUUACUUUCCUAUUGAAUUCAUAAACAAUGAAAAAAAAUAUGAUUUAAUAACAGAAGCAGAUUUACAAGCUUCUUUUUGCAAAUGCUUAAAAUCAAAUAAAAGAUUAGGUAAUCAUGUAAUAACAAAUAUAUUAGAUCAAUUAUAUAAUACAGAAGAUGAUGAUGUUAAUGAUAAAUAUCUUAAGAAUGUGACUAAUACGUUAGAAGAAUGUAUUCCUUUUUAUACGUACAAAUGUGCAGCUAAGUUUAUUACUACAGUGUUAGGCAUAAUCGAAUUAGAAUGUAUAGAAAAUAAUGCAUCAGAUAAAACGGUAGAUUAUUUAAUUCAUAUAUUGUUUAUAUUUUUAAAAGAGUUAAACAAAGAAAAAAAUAAAAAAAAAAAAAAUGCUCUAUUUAAUACAUAUGUUAUUAAUAUGCUUAGGAAAAUACAGAAGCAUGUUAUAUUACACAAGAAAUUUUGCGAGAAAAUCGAUUAUGGCAUAUGGUGUGUAGAAACAAAUUUAAAAAGAGAAGAAGAAAAAACAAUCCUGAGUAAUACUAAUAAAGUUGAUAUAAGUAGGAAGAAUAUUAAAAUGUCUAAUGGUUUAUUAUGUAAUAUAUCGACUGACAUUCCACACGACAUCCCAUUUGAAGGGGUACCUGUAAAAGAAAUUACGAACGAAUUAUCAAAAGAAGAUUGUAUAAUAAAAUAUAAUUGUAAAAAACAGACUGAAGUAGAUACACAAAAAGAAAAAAAAAAAGAAAAACACGAAGAAAAGGAUCAAAGUUGUAAAUCAAAAAUAGAAUCAUUUUAUUUUUGUUUAGAUAAAGAUAGUAGUAGUAUUAGUGACUAUAGUAGUAAUAAUAUUUAUAGUAACAGUGGUAGUAGUAGUAGUAGUAGUAGUAAUAGUAAUAGUAAUAGUAGUAAAAAUUUGUAUAAUAACUAUACGUAUUCUUCGUUAAGUAAAUCAGAAGAUUCUUGCUCCAAUUUUGAUGAAGUAGACAGUUGUGACAAUAAUAAUAUUAAUAAUAAAAAUGAUAAUGUAGAUAUUUCUAAUCAUGAUAAUAAUAUAAGUUAUGGAAGCGAAGUAGACGAUAAAAAUAUUAUUACAAUUAUAAAAGAAAAAACAGAAAUUGAUAAAAUAAAAGAAAUAAAAGAAAAUAAAAAGAAAAAAAAUCAUGUAAAAUUGAACAAAUUAGUUUUAAUCGAAAAAAUGCUUAUAUGUAUAUCCAAAAAUAAUAAACUUAUGUUUUUAUACAUACUACACAUUUUACUUAAACCGAUAAUAAAAGAGUGUUACUAUUUGAUUAAUUUUUU
ensembl:lncRNA